ACUCUGCCUAUCGCAAGUAUUUGUCAAUGGACUGCGGGUUAUAAGGAAAUUUAAUUUUAUCUGUCAUUUCCUUAUCACGAUUUUGAGUGUCUGGCCUCACUUCAGAACCUGCCCUUUAAAACAUCACCCUAUCAUUGUGUAUCCAAGUCGCCAAACCUUUGACAGGGCAUUGCAGAUAGGAUGCAUCAACAAAUGAGGCCACAAAGGCUCGCGGGGCGGGGACUAAAAAUUCGGAACAAAUAUGUAAACCUGUUCGCUGGGGUCGCCCACUCGGACCCACGGGCCACAGCCUGGGAGCCAACGGGUCUAGGACCCGGGAGGAUCAGCAGGUGCACGACCCUGCGUAGCGCACGUCCCUCCCUGCGUCUCGACCCGCACGAGACCCAGCGGGCGCAGCGGGGCUCACUGAGUCUGCGCAGAGGCUCUCCCAGAGCGGGCGAGACGCGAGCGCGGAGGGUCUCACCGAGUCUGCGCGAAGGCUACCCCCUCCCCCCCCCCCGCCCCGCCCCACCCCACCGCGAGCAUCCGGGAGGUGGGGCGCGGCGGGGCCGGCCGAGUCUGCGCAGAGACGACCCCCGCGAGGGUGCGACGCCGGCGCGCGAAGAGCUGGGGCUGUGCCCUGGCAGCCGAGGAGGGGGCCGCGGUGGAGCGGGAAGCGGGGUAGCCUGGAGGGGAGGUGAUUAAGGCUCUCCAGCGCGGCUGGGUCCCACAGAUCUUACCCGGGAGUGUUCCUUACAGUGCCUUCAAGACAGUUUGUAAUUUUGCUUUUGAUUUCGUCUUUCGAUCCAGUGGAGUUCUUCUUCCUGCCAGUGUGCUCCAGUUCUCGUGCAUUCUAUGUGGACGCUCUGUGCGCCUGCGCCUGCACAACGGGUGCUGGGGUGCAGGUUCCAAUCCUGGAUUUCCUCCAUCAGCAAGUCCGAGGUCCCCACUCCCGCAGGCUGGCCCCGCAGAUUUCACCUGCACAGGGGCUGCUAUAUUGAUCCGCGGGGUGCGGGUGGGCCACCGAGAAGUUUCCCGCUGGGGUGCUGCCGCCUGUACCCUGAGCGCGGAGGAGCCCAGGAGGCGGGGCGCCGCGGGGCCGCCAGGACGGUGCCUCCCCGCUGGGCGGCUCCCUCCGGCUGCCCGCGCCUGGGGGCUUCUGGGAGGGGCGGCUGCGCAGGCGCACUGAGCCCGGCUGGACUGAAGCGUGCGCAGGGGGCUGGGGAAGGGGUGACUGGCCAGGACGCUCGGCCACGGGACCUCCACGUGGCUGUGGUCUUCAGCCGCCCCCCCCCACCCCCGUCCUUGGGCAGUGGCCCUGGUGGGAGGGAGUCUGUGCGGCCUCCGGUGGCGCCCCAGCUCUUACCUGCUGGAUUUUCCGCGCUGGACGCCUUUCUUGAGACCGCGACUUGGUGCGAGCAGCGCUGUAAACCGGGCCCUGUUGCAGAUCCGGGGCGUUUGGACCAUUCCGUAGAUGGGAUUAUGAUUUUACUUUUGCUGUGGCCACUACGGAAAUUUGAGUGAAGAUGGCGAAGUCAUCUGGUCGUUGGCGGCCUCUCCACUACCUCCGAGAGAAUCAACCCUUGAAAGCAGGCAAGUUAAACUUUGCACUGAAAGCUGUUCACCUCUGGGCUCUGAUUCUGGAAACUUGGGCUUUGCAGCAAAGGUGAUUCUUCGUUUGGGCUCCCGGAACACCUUUGCUUCUGCUGCUGUUUCCUUCUACAGCCUAUGUCUGGUAUUGUAGAAAACACUCUACAUAUCCAUCUACCAGAUUUCGAGUCUCUCCAAGCCAGGGACUCUUCGUGGAAUAGGAUCUUCGGGAGGGAUGGGAAAGAAAGCAU